ensembl:lncRNA
CGUCAACCGUUUACCAACACCACCAACCACGCCUCUUCUGCCAGCUCACGUUGGCUUCCAAGACAACAAGCUGAUGCAGGUGGACAGCGUGAUCGUGCCACGCAGGCAGGUCGAAGAAUCCAGGGCCAGGAGCCCACAGCCACCAACUCAGAUUGAGAAACCAAUAGAAACCAGGGUUUCGCCCAUACCUGAGAUCACAGAUGUUCCUCUGAAGGGACCUUCUAGGUUUGAGAAGAACUUCACCUCUACCCCUGACCAAACACCCCUUCCGUUUCUUCAGACUCCUCAGUCACAGCUCGAGUCUCUGUUUAGGAACCCGAAGAAGGAUUUGAGGGACAAAGGUGUGGAGAAAUUCUCUGACCGGCCAGAAGAUUUCCUACUUUGGAAGAAGACCUUUCAGCGUGCCAUACAGAACUUAAGACUCACCUCUGAGGAGGAACUAACUCUUAUGGUUGCCUGGCUUGGUCCAACAUCAGCCCACCAAGUGAGAAGAAUCUUCUCAGCCCUCAUCGACCAACCAGAAAGAGCACUGGACACUGCAUGGACAAGGCUUAACCAGCGUUACGGGUCCAGCACCCAAAUUGAAGCCUCGCUGAUGGACAGACUUCAUAAGUUCCCGGUGCUCAAACCUAAGGACUUUGAACAGCUUUGGGACCUAUCAGACUUAUUGGUUGAGCUCCAGUCAGCUAAGGGAAACCCACAGCUUCCAGGGUUUGCCUGCCUGGACCAGCACUUGUCCCAAACUGCCAUCACUCAAAGACUGCCCUUUUUCUUGCAGGAGGAAUGGGGCAGGGAGGUCUUCAGAUACAAGCAGGCCAAUCAUCAGGUCUACCCACCAUUCACUCAUCUUGUGGAUUUUGUUACAAAUGCCGCCAUGCAAUUUAAUGACCCACAGACAGGAUUUCCAACUCUUUAUGGGGCUCCAAGGACAGAUAGGCCCAUCAAAGAGCCCAAGGAACCUGCAAAGGACAGUGGCACCAAAAGAAACAUCGCCGUCAAGACUACGGAGACCAUCCCGUCUCUACCUGAUGCCAAGAUGACACCAAAAGAAGUUUUGUGCCCACUGCACGCAAAGCCCCACAGUUUGGCCGACUGCAGAGAGUUUGCCAAAAAGCCUCACCCAGACAAAGUCAAGAUCCUCAAGAAAUCCAGGAUCUGCUUCAGGUGCUGCGGUACAACUCCCCACCAAUCAAAGUCAUGCAAAGAAAAGGUAAAAUGCGAGGUGUGCCAAUCCGUCAGACAUUGCUCAGCGAUGCACGACAAGGACUUCGUGCCCUUCAAGGUCAAGAGCGGAGCAACCAGUCAAUGCCCCCCAGAAGUGCAUCCAGAAGAUUCAGCUGAACCUUCAUCGGGCACUGAGGCACCCUCUGUGGCCUGCACUCAGCUGUGCGGCAGCCCAAAGAAAGUUAGGAUUUGCCAUCCCAUCUGUUUGGCAGAUGUCUAUCCCGCCAGCAAGCCAUGGACGAAGAAGAGAAUGUACGUGGCCCUUGACAACCAAAGUGACGGUUCACUGGCCACCCCUGACUUCUUCAGCUUCUUCAAAGGGCAAUCAAAGACUAUUGACUAUUGUAUUUCUACUUGUACGGGCAAACAAAGAAGACAGGGCCGUGUUGCUUCUGGAUUUAUCAUUUCGCCAUGUGGCAAAGACAUUCAUUUUGAGUUACCUGACCUUAUUGAGUGUGCGUCCAUCCCACGAAAUAAGGACCAGAUUGCUACCAGAGAAGUGGUGCAAGCGCAUCCUCACCUGAAAGGACUACAGGACCUCAUUCCUCCCUUUGAGCCAGGCAUCGACAUCGUCCUGCUCAUCGGAUCCAACUGCCCAAGCCUGAUGAGCGUCCGGGCUGAAAAGAGAGGUCCUCCUGGUGCACCCUUGGCACAGAAGACUCCUUUAGGAUGGACCAUACAGGGACCUGUAUGUGUCAACAGAAUGCAUCCUCCAUCUUCUCUGUGUCCAGAUCAGCCA